rnacentral:rRNA from 1 species
UACGUAGGGGCCUAGCGUUGUCCGGAAUCAUUGGGCGUAAAGAGCUCGUAGGCGGUUCGGCAAGUCACGUGUGAAAUCUCCACGCUUAACGUGGAGGCGCCACGUGAAACUGCCGUGACUCGAGUCCGGUAGGGGAGUGUGGAAUUCCCGGUGUAGCGGUGAAAUGAGCAGAUAUCGGGAGGAACACCAGUAGCGAAGGCGGCACUCUGGGCCGGUACUGACGCUGAGGAGCGAAAGCGUGGGGAGCGAACAGG